GGGACAUCCGGGUGGAGGGGCUGGAUUGGGGGCUGUCAGUAUGGCACGCAGACGUCGUUUGCAAGGACGCAACACGGUGUGGGGCCACAGGGGGCCGGUGGGGGACAGCUGGAUCAGAAGAAAGGCCUAGGGCCAGAAGCCAGGCUCUCCAACAGAGGAUGCUGGGGAGGUGAGGAGCACCAGGCCCGGGUGCUGAGAAGAAGCAACCAGCAGGCAGAAGUCGGGAUUACCCUCUUGAGGAAGUGCUCCAGACUGGGAGGUGCUCCUAGAUGAGGACGUGCUCCCAGAUGAGGAAGUGCUCCCAGAUGAGGACGUGCUCCCAGAUGAGGACAUGCUCCAGACUGGGAAGCCCUCCAAUGAGGAAGAGCUCCAGACUGGUAGGUGCCCCCAGACGAGGAGGUGUUCCCAGACAAGGAAGUCCUCCAGAUGAGGAAGUGCUCCCAGAUGAGGAAAUGCUCCAGACUUGGAGAUGCUCCCAGAUGAGGAAGUGCUCCCAGAUGAGGACAUGCUCUAGACUGGGAAGCCCUCCAAUGAGGAAGAGCUCCAGACUGGUAGGUGCUCCCAGACAAGGAGGUGCUCCAGACAAGGAAGUCCUCUGGAUGAGGAAGUGCUCCCAGAUGAGGACGUACUCCCAGAUGAGGAAAUGCUCCAGACUUGGAGGUGCUCCCAGAUGAGGAAGUGCUCCCAGAUGAGGACAUGCUCCAGACUAGGAAGCCCUCCAAUGAGGAAGAGCUCCAGAGUGGUAGGUGCCCCCAGACGAAGAGGUAUUCCCAGACAAGGAAGUCCUCCAGAUGAGGAAGUACUCCCAGAUGAGGAAGUGCUCCAACGAGGAAGUCCUCCAGAUGAGAAAGUGCUCUGACUGGGAAGCCCUCCAAUGAGGAAGAGCUUCAGACUGGUAGAUGCUCCCAGACAAGGAGGUGCUCCCAGACAAGGAAGUCCUCCAGAUGAGGAAGUGCUCCCAGAUAAGGAAAUGCUCCCAGAUGAGGAAGUGCUCCCAGGUGAGGACGUGCUCCCAGAUGCUCCCAGAUGAGGAAGUGCUCCCAGAUGAUGAAGUGCUCCCAGAUGAGGACAUGCUCCAGACUAGGAAGCCCUCCAAUGAGGAAGUGCUCCCAGAUGAGGAAGUGCUCCCAGAUGAGGAAGUGCUCCAGACUGGGAGGUGCUCCCAGAUGAGAAGUGCUCCCAGACAAGGAAGUCCUCCAGAUGAGGGAAUGCUCCAGGCUGGGAGACGUUCCCAGAUGAGGAGGUGCUCCAACGAGGAAGUUCCCCCCGUCCCCCACGAGUGGACUGCAUUUGGACGAGGCGUCUUAGAGGCAAAGCAGGCCACGACAGGCAGCCCAGGGGUCUGGGAGACACGGGGUGGGAGCAGAAACCUGGGUCCCGCCAUCAGCACGUCUCUGGGCAGCAUCGCUGAGAAAGCCACCUGAGGCCAGGGCCAUGUCAACGGGCAGCCCCAGCUCCCACGCUCUGCCCGCUGCCCCAAUCGCUCGUGCUGGCCUGGCCGAGGGCUACAGGUGGGGGCUGUCGUCUGCAGCCCCCCCCCC
rnacentral:lncRNA from 1 species